GCGAAGUAGGGGCGAGCAGCGGGGGUAGGAGGGUGGGGGGUGGGGUUGGCCGGGAGCAUUGGGCGUAGAGAGCGGGUAGGCGUGCCGGUAAGUCCGCUGUGAAAGUCGGGGGCUCAACCCUCGAAAGCCGGUGGAUACUGUCGGGCUAGAGUGCGGAAGAGGCGAGUGGAAUUCCUGGUGUAGCGGUGAAAUGCGCAGAUAUCAGGAGGAACACCGAUUGCGAAGGCAGCUCGCUGGGACGUAACUGACGCUGAGACGCGAAAGCGUGGGGAGCAAACAGGAUUAGAUACCCUAGUGGUC
rnacentral:rRNA from 1 species